GCAAAUACAAAAGCUGUAACACUUUAUGUUAGGUUGGCUUAAGGUUCUAUUAUUUAAAAAGGGAUCACUUCAUCAUGAAGGGUUGCCGCCAAAAUUGUGUGCUUCAAGUGGCUGGCUUACUCAAAUGCUUCAAAUGGUAGGUUGGAAUACUAAAAAAAACAACACAAUCGAGAAUAUAAUAAAUAUUGCACAAUGUCAUGUCUAAGUAAUAAUGAAGGAAUAAGAGUACGAAGCAUGCAUAAAUCCAAAGAAUGAAAGAAAAUCCAUGCGUCAUACAUGUAUUUAAAGGAAAACAAGAAGAAUGAAGAAUUUAAAAGUUGUAAUAAGAAAGCAGCCUCUUUGACCUUUAACUAAAUCCCGGAAUAUAUGGAGGACCUUAGCUUUACCUGAACUUUUGAAUCACACGUCUUCUUUGGCAAUCACCACUCAUAAGCCGCUAUCUUUCUUUUCAAGGCAUUUUGGUUUUCGCCAAUCUUCAACACAACCUUUUCUUUUUUUGCUCAUCGAGAAUUAGAU
rnacentral:lncRNA from 1 species